ACAAGGACUCCUCAAACUCACAAUAAACAUAGACUGUUCUCAUAGGGCUUUGCCAUGCCUGGAGUUCUUCAACCCAGGAAAAGUGGCUACAAGACCUUGAUGUUCCACUCAGAGGACCAGGGAUUAUGGUGGGAGAGAUGACAUAAGGACUGAAAUCACACAAAGGUGCAAAUGACUAAUGCCAGUAGGUUUCUGGAAGCAGGUUCCGUAGACUUGAGGGUGCACUCCGAGGAAAGCUGAGUGAUGAGGAAGCACCAGGAAGGAAGUGCUCAGAAAAGGGGAGGCCGGUGGCUGGAGUGACUCCUGGUCUAGCAGUUCUUCAUGUCCAUCUUGUUUUCAUGCCAAGGGAAUUUCAGCCUUACCUUUGCCCAGGUUUGGGUGGCAAUGAUAGGGA
rnacentral:lncRNA from 10 species